rnacentral:tRNA from 1 species
UGCGGGAUGGACAAGAGGAUAAGUCACUAGGCUCAUAACCUAGAGAACGCUGGUUCAAAUCCAGCUCCCGCUA